AAUAAAUAAAUAAUAGAUAGAUAGAUAGAUAGAUAGAUAGAUAGAUAGAUAGAACUUUUUGGUACACUUCAAACCCCAUUGCUUUGACAGUCUCUGGGCCCACAGUGCAGUUCUGAAGAGACUAUCCUGACUGUUUAAGAUUGAUCUUGCUUUCUUUUUAAAGAACUAUGGCUGGCAACUUGGAAAUUCCAAAAAAAAAGUGCAAUGUACAAAUGUAAAUGUACACCAUGAUAAAGAUCAAUAUCAAAUUAUAUGAAGAAAAAUACUGUGAUAAUAUUUUUGACCAUAUCGCCCAGCUCUAGCAUAGAUCCCUGUAUUUGUUUUAAAAUCUCGCAAUGUGUGUGUGUUUAGUUUUUUUUUCUGUGCAAAUCAUUCAUGUUCAGCCUGAAUAGGCCUUUAUACAAUGGCUGAAGUCACAACAGCCUCCGAGCUCAACAAAAAGCUGAACACAGACAAGGGGUAUAAUCACUGAAUCACUGAGUCACACAGAAUCAAGAAUCUAUACCCUGUUGAUUACUUGUUUAGUGAAUAUUUCAUUAAAACCGCUGUGGAUUCGUGAUGCACCGAAAGGAAAAUUCUGGGCCGAAAUCGAAAAUUCAGGACAUAAUUCAAAAAGGUUUUUGUAGAAUUGUAUUAAUAUUAGACUCUCUCUCUCUUUUUUUUUUUUUUAAAAUCAAUUCAUCGCCACUUGUAUGCACCCAUUUCUCUGGCACACUUUGCUCUGUGCUGCGUGUCGAUCCUUCAGCAGAUGUAUUCAUCACCUCCAACUCUGCCUGCAUCACUUCCCGUGGACGCCGCUUUUUCUCUACGUCAAAGUAACGUUCUUUAAAUUGCAGCUCUAGUAACGUUGCGAUGCAUCGAUAACCGUCGGCUACAUCGAGAGUGAAAUCCAAGCGCUGAGCACUGAGUGGCGGUCGCGGUGCCAUACAUUUUCUAUACAUUUUGUUUUCAGCCUUCCUUAUCUUUCGAAAUUUCGGUGCAUCCCUGUGUCCAUCAUGAAUACAGCUUUACAAUAGGAACUGAUGGUUCAGAACUUUAAAAAAAAAAAAAAAUAAUAAUAAUAAUACACAAAGCAGAACUGUGCGUCAUAAGCAUUCAUCUCGGAAUAAAAAAAAAAUGUAGGUUGGCUCGACAGUGAAAACAAUUUAAAAUCUAAAAUCCAUAUUAAAACAAGCAAAAAACUUAGCUGGGAUUGAAAUUUUGGAACCCUGCUGGAAACCGGAAGAGAAUUUCUUACACCAUAAUAAAUUUAGUAUGCAGUGUAGACAUUGCUAUUUAUAGCGAGUACUUCAGUGCAACAAAGGAAAAUCUAUAGCAAAAGCAGCCACUCAAGAGUUUUGGCAUUUAUAUGAACAUGAACCAAAAAAAUUGAAUCAAACAUCCUGCACAAUAUUGACAAGCCCUGUAACAAACCAUGGCAAUCUGCAGGUCAAUUCCAGAUUUGUCUAAGGCGAAGGGAUUCAUGGUUUAUUCACACAAGCCUCCCAACAAAGCUUUUUAGCAGUCUUGUGCUGCUGUGUGAUUACCCAGCAAUCAAUGAGCACUGAGCAAACACAAAGUAAAGCUUUCGCGGCCUCACCUGCAGAAGUACGACUGAAGGCCUGUAAAUGCAGUUCUACUGCCUCCACCCACUCCCUGGAGAAUAAAGGAGAGGCACUUCCAUGUGGUGCAGUAUCAAGGGCGGGUCAAUCCAGUGUUAUCUUAAGAAUGCAGGUGGGGAAAAAAAAACCCUGUAUGAACGCGACUGCUGACAAUUCAGCACUCUAGCUUGUCUGGUGAGAGAUUCAUGAAAAUACUAGAAAUAAUCAAAACAGUCAUUGUUAGCCCUGUUAUAAUAAUUGCUGGUCCUUUUAUAAUCCUUUAACUGCCACUUGUAGGUUUGUUUUUUUUCUAAAUCCUAACCUAUUUGAGCUCUGGUAACAGAAAGAGAACACAGCAGGCUAACAUUUAAAUCUGUUCAGCUCAAUAACCUCCUGCCACUGAGACCACAAAUCAUAUCAGUGCCCAUUUUCUUCUCUCCCCUACACAACAUGACCCACUUCUGAUCCACACAGAGACUGCAUUUCAUAAAUCAUUUAAUUGUGAUCACAAAUUUCAGCUUCCUUAAUUAAUUAAGCACAGCCCGCUGUGUCGCGGGUGCGAGCAGUCGAAGUUAUCUAAUUGGUUAACUAAAUAUCAGUGUUUAUUGAUUCCGACAUGUUAAAUCACAACCCCAUCAUACUUGUGUUUAUGCUGUCUAACCAACACAGUAUGACAGUUUUACAGUUACGGCAAAACUCAAGCUCACCAGACAAGUACGCAUGACCUGCAACAGCACUGAUUUCCUACUGCGUUGAUAUUUGAAAAAGAAAAAAAUUUUUACAAAAUGAUUAAUAAGACUAAGGAUCCAUCUUAUUUUGAAUCAAUAGGUUAUACAUUUGAAGGAGUUUUAUAAAUAUGUUUUCAUUAACUUAAAUGAUAAGAGAAAGUGCAGUAAAACUAUUUAGUUUCCUAAUUUGGCUGAAUAAUAGGGAUGAAUAUUUAUGAUUAUCGUUUUAACCAUCAACAUGCAGCACUAGCAAAUAUAUUUCAUAAGAAUUCCAUGUUUAUCCAUUACUAGGCAUUAAGGAUUUGAUUAUAUCAUCUAGACAGAUUGAGGGCACAGAAACGCCCUAUUCUGUGUCAUUUAGCAGGAAACAGGUGGCAGCGUCGCCACUGAUUUAAGAGAUGUGAAUAAUAAUAAUAAUAAUAAUAAUACACGAAUAAUGAAUCAUAUGAAAACGCCUCCAUUAUUAUAGUGAGCUCUAGCAAGAAUGACACACUAGGAAAUGGCUACAGCUACUUGACUGCAGAUUGGCAUGGUCAUGUGAGCAACACACACACACACACACACACACACACACACACACACCCCAGCUUGUCAGCCCAGCCUAAAUAUGAGAGCAGUCAAUCAGGGCAGCCAAAGCAGCAAUCCAUGCGAUGCUCACAGGUUCACAAUUAAUCGAGCAAGUCAUUUGUCUAAUUAAGGAACCCCCUCUUAAUCAUCUGUCAUCCACAAGUGAGGUUCGGGAAUGCUUGUUCGGUGUAUGCAAGCACGGUCACAUCUGGUUGAUCACUCCCAGUCGAGUGUUUACACGGUUUUCUGCAACGUUCAUACUUGGCAUCCAAAGCAUUACUCAGGAAAUUGUAUUAAACGAGUGCCAAACAAACAUCUAGGAUCCUUUAUUCUGUUUUGUUUCCACACAAAGACAGUAAGAAAGUUAAAGACACAAUUCUAUCGGGAAAAUUCCACAGUAGGAACUUAAUAACCAGUAAUACUUCGAGUAAUUCUGAAUGAUCUAUUGUUUGAAGACUUGCAUAUGCCUUAGUUCUGUUAAAUGCAUAUUUUGUGGAUUACUAUUUGGAUAUAGUUGAACUGUAUCUGGCCAGCCAUAGAUAGGAUGACAGGCAGCUGGCUGGCCUGAGGCUUUUUGAGUGUCCAACAACCUCAGACACGUCUGCUAGCGGAUGACAGUAGCUUUGGGCUAGCAAACACCUGCAGCUCACCUGCAGAGCAGCAAAGGGAAAGGGACUGGAGUGUUUCACAUUUCUGGCUGGACUGUGUCCCUGGAGAAAGAGCCUUUGGACAAACUAGCCACGUGUGGCCACAAGCAAACUGAAAACCAGAAAUGACUAGCAAUAAUGAGGUGAGUUUGUGCUUAGCACUGGUCAUCAGGAUUAAUAGGUGCUAAAAUUUUGAGAGGAAAAAUUCACGCAGGAUCAGUGCAUUCCAUCAGGUUCAUCAAAGGAACCACUGCUGUUUAGGACACAAUAAAGACUUGAUCAUAGAGACAACUCCGGACGGCCUUUGGAGCCUUUGGCUGCUCUUAAACACGGGUCACAUUCCAUACGCCUCAGCCUGGCCUGCACAUGUGUAUGAGAGCUGUGAAAAUGGCCGAGGCUAGUGGAACAGAGGCUGGAAUUUGCACACGCUACACUCCAAGUCAUCGAGGUCAUGCUGUUCGAUGACUGAGCUGGACUCCACACACGGAGCUGGACUCCACUCAUGGAGCUGGACUCAAAUUCUGACAGCUUGAGAUGAGUACCUUGUGUGAGAGCUUGACCCUCCUGCUUUUACUGACAUGAAAGAGAGGAAUUAAAUGUACUGCAAGAGUAAACAGUGCAUUCAGAUACCAUGAAUGACUGAAUAAGUGAAGUAGAAAGAAAGCGCUAGAAGACUUAAGAAGAAUACGAGCAAAUCACAGGAUGGAUAAUAAAAAGGAACUCAGUUUAUUUCUCAAUAUGCUCGACAAUUCCCAAUUCAGCAAUACUUAAGAUUUAUUACAAUUUAAGCAUCUGCUUUGCUGUUAAAUUAGACAGCUGUGUCCACCGUCAGGAUCUCUAAACUGCUCAAUUCCAUAACACAAAUUUAUUACCAUUUGCCUUGCAAGUAAGUACUUAUGCUUCACAUUGAUAUUCACAAUGAUUAAAAAUCACAAAUUUUAUGAGCUAUUAUGAGCUGAAUGGAUGAAAAAAGGAGAGAGACAUAGAUAAAGGCAUCUUUGGGUGGACUACUUCCUAAUAACUUCUGAAGACAAAACCUGUUUCAAGGACUAUAAUUAUACCAAUAUCAAUCUGAUAAAAAGUCCCGAUAUGGCUGAAAACUACCAUUCAUUUCCUGUUAAAGGUCUGUCCAAACAAACACCUGCCAACAUAAUCACAGAAAAAUACUAGGAUGUCAGUUUAGUCUUUGUCCACCUGAACAAGUGGUGAAGCAUCAAUAAAACCAAUGGAGUGUAUUGUAAAGGUACUGAGGAAGUCAGUGCGAAUAAGAGGAUAUUAACAUAUAAUAAUAAUGUGCUGCUUGGGCCAUUAUCCCCAAUAACAUAUCACUGUAAUAAAACGAUGACGGUAUUGCAAGUCAUCAGUUUGUGGUGAAAUAGUGCCAGCACCUGCUCGGUGUUAUCUUCUGGAAUAUAUACAGUGUAGAAAAUGAGAUGCCAUUCAAAACACUCGAGUGGCUCCUUCCAUUUCCGGCCUGUCCUUGGCAAUGCUAUAUUUCAUAAAAGAAUCUAACCAAAGAUGAUCGUGAUGAUGACAAACUAAGGCAACAGAAGCACAAACACACUUUAGCUUGAUGGAUGCUUCUCUCCAGCCCAUUCCUCUCAGUAAAUCAGCACUAAUGUGGUGGUAAGGGAGGAUAUUCUCUUAUUCCAUUUCUCGCUCACUCUCCCUUUCUCACUCUCUCGCGUGUUCACUCUCGAGAGACCUGGACUCCAUUAGAGUGUUGCCAGGGGCAGUGAAGGAAUGGAGCCCUCGCACAGACAACACUUGCUGCACGAGAAGAGGUCUCCGCUUAGCGAGAAAGACGGAGAGACGUGAAUGGGGGAGGGGAAGAGAAUAAGAGUGAGGAAUGGAUUUUUAAAAGAAGGCAUGAAAUAUUCAGUGCAGCUGUAGAGUGUGUAAGUGGAGAGAGAGACACAGUGUUAUUUAUAUUCAUGUCAAGGAGACCAACACCUUAUUGUGCUAUUGAGGCCUACAACAAAAUGACCCUUUAUCCAUGAACACAGCAAUUCAUUAAGCACUGGUACUAUUACACAUGAGACAAACUAUAAACUACAAGGUUACAACCAACAACGUGACCCUAAACAUUAGAAAACAACUUUGUGAUUACUGGCGUGUACAGGCUAGUGAAAGUGUGAGCAGAGGUGGCUAAACAUACAUGGACUAGUGUUUAUGAAAAGACAUUAAUAUAAUGUUUCAGUUUUGGCAUUCACUUCAGAUUAUUUACUGUUAGGAAUUUUUUUAAGUGGAUUAUUUUGGACUUGAAACAAGGUCAUAACUGAGGCUAGGGCUGAUAUCUUUCAAGUCUAGACUGUAGAUUCACGCAGCCUGUCAGUGACGGUCGUGCUAGGUCACUACACACAGUGAAAAAGCCUCUACAUAGCAGGUCCACUAGUGAGUGUAAUGAAUGAGAAUGAGGUGGAUUAUUUACUUUAACAUCAUCCCCCCCAAAAAAAUGUCUUUGCAGAACAAAACUUAAACUUGACAGACUAAGCACACAUUGUCCAAUCAAAAUAACUAAGUGCAUGCUUUUUGGGGGGUUUGAACUAAAGUGUCACACUUUCCUGCUUGGUAUUUAUAGGAAACAUGACAUGAAGCCAGUACAGCACUAUAUGUCUUUAAGUGUGUGCAAUAGUCUGCUCCACAUCAUUCUUACCAGUUUUUUGUGAUUCUUGCGGCCAAAAACGUUUCUUUCAAAAUUUGUGAUGCAAUUUGCAGAGCUUUUUUUUGUGGAAAACUACUUGAAUAAGCAAAACUGCAAUUGCAUGAAAUUGUCUUUCGCAGUGAUGUUUGUCAGUAAACACACGUUUUAGCUGUUUUCGUGUUCAACGCACGUGAAUUGAAGAGGGCUUUGGCCGAAUCAGUGUUGUGAUGACAUCACAUGACGUGUCUUGUCCAAAAUCUGUGGUAAUUUUGAAAAAUUGCAAGCUCCACCGAAUAUUGCUCCACCGAGUUUGCUUGAUUUUCAUUCAUUUCUACGAUAGCAAAAUCCCAGAAGGACUGUCUUACUAUGCCAUUGAUGAGACCUCAGGAUAUAAUCAUUUCUCAAGCCUAAGAGUUUCAUAAUCCACAUCACAUGCAUCACUCAUGCACCAUCAUAAGCGUUACACUCCUGUGUCAGAUGGCUAGCUAGACUGGGGACAGUUGUUGCCUGGAUUAUCACCAUGUCUGGAUUCAAAAAUGCUUGUGUCUAUCUCCGGCCCUGUGAAAGAUUAUCUGAAUGAUAUGAAGUUCCACAGAGAAAUGCGGCACUCAUGAGAACGGGGCCAGAGAUUUUAAUUCAGCCUGACUUCUCUGCCAAUCCCUUCACCAACAAGAGACACUUUGCCCUUUUUCAAACCUCAGCACAUAUCAGUGCCCUCCUGCUGCUCGUGUAACGACAGAAACGUUCAGUCGAGUGGGCAGUUCGGCGCACAGGCAGCAGCACGAGUUCAUUUCCUCAUGUUGAAAAGUUAGUGCAGUGAUUGGAGCGGAUGGUGUUUUAUGCAUAGAUUUGAGAUUGUUGCCUCAGCUAAGGCUGGCUUCUUUCCAACAUCCUUCUGACACCUCCCCCUCCUCCUUUCUAUUGUUUUUAGCAAAUGUGUUAGCAUGAUCACUCACUAAUCUCUUCCAAUUGUCGCAGUCUUCCUUUUACACUGGAGGGGAGCUUUAUGCCAGGUCAUGUAUACCAUGGCAAACAAAAAGUCUGGUUUAAACUCAAUUCAGCCCAAGGCCUGGGAGAGACAGAUAAUGACACUGAUCAAGAAUGAAAGAGGAAACCACAGAAAGCAGGCUCCUACCCUUUUUAUCCUAACUCCCCUCCAGAAUGCCAUAUUUACCCUGUUUAAUGAGAAGUUAAGAUCUUAAUGGUGUGUUAGUUGGUACUUUUACUGUGUCUGCGGUUGUCGUGUUCAUCUUUAUUUUUGUGUUAAGGUUACUUUUUACACACCUCUACUUUAAGUUCUAUUAGUCUUGAAUACCCCAAUUCUCAAAACAGUAUAUUUUAACUACUCUGUGAUAAUAGUGUCACGUUAAAGCAACAAGUCUUUCUCAACUUGAUGGAGAAAGAUAGUCCAAAGGCCAGAGCAGGCAGCUACUACCUGGUUUAACUCAGUUGCACCACAGUGGCACUUUUGUGAUAAGGACACUAAAUAUAACUCCAUGGGGAGAGAAGCGCGACGACAGCUAUUAAUCCGUCGCACCAGUGCGUUGCGCCUCAUAACUGAUAGCAACCGAGGCUCCGUCUUUCAGCUAUUAGUGGCAACCUCCACCACUUCACAGCAUCACACCUCACACUUGUCACGACCUUCACCCUGUUGCAUACUGUAUGCUCUUUAUAUCAACGCAAGUCUUCCAUAAGUUUCAGUUCACUAACCAUAGGCUGCGACAAGACAUCAGAGCGUUCAAGCAACAACAGCGACAAGGACGCGAUGGAGGCCGGAAGAAAAACCGAGCUGUGGCGCACAUGUGAUAAUGUGUUAAUCGUUCAAUGAACUCAAUGAGCAAUUUGAUCCAAGACACAUAAAAUGUAUCCAUGUUUCUGAAGAUACAGUACAAUGUAGCAGUUCAAACCCUUCCUCUGAGAUUGAUUUAUCUAUUAACGCAUAAAAGAAUCGUCUUGAUUUUUUUUUUUAAACUAAUUUUCUUAAGCCACCAAAGGCCGACCACUCUGCCAUAGUGUUAGAGUUGUUUCUUAGUGACUUUGGUUUCCACAGCUAUGUCAUGAACAAAAAUUUCAUUCCGGUUACCAUAGCCAUCCCUACAGCUGUCCUUGCUUAAGGUCCCUAUUAGCUAGCGUGCAAUACAUGGUUAUGGGAAUAGUAGGGGCAGCAGUGAAGAAUCUUGGGAGUUUUCUUUCUGGAUCAUGUGCUUCCUCCGUCUGAAGGGUCUGUUAGUUUAUCAAACAAACAGUGUAAGACUCCUUAUCCUACAGUGGAGAAACACUUUGCAGGUAGUCUGGUGUCCAAAUAACAAACACACUCCUCUCCCCAAACACACACAAAAACACUGCCUCAAUAAUGCAGGUGCAAGCACAAGAACACAUUCACUACUUGAAGUCUCUUUCUCACACACACUCACCAAAAAUAUACACAGUAAGAUGCAUUCAUGACAUCUUCGUCCUUCAGAAACAAACACUCAAUUCCCAGCUGCCAUUUCUCAUGCUUGUGGCAGAGAUUAAGGCUAAUUGGGCUGUUAAUUGGGCUGAUGGUGCAGGUGUUUAUGAUCUACAUUUACACUAUGGAUUGCCAAGCACAAGCACACAGGGGUCACUGGUUACUACAUGGCUACAUCACAUCAGUCCAAAAUAUUAACCCACAAAAACUGUCACGAUGUUAGUCACAAAAAUGGAAAUGGGAAUAAAAGCUGCAGACACAAAACAGACAAAUAUACAAAGCCAAGUAUUCUAUGUAAUAAAAAUGCCUGCUCAAAGGCACACACCACUCUCCGACAGAUGGCCUACACACAACACACACACACACACACACACACACUACACUUAUGCCAUAACAUAUGGUCAAGUAGUGACAGCAAACCUACACAGGCACAAGACAUCCACACAGAAACAAGUCUCAUCAACACUUAACCAGAGAUUAAAUUACAAAACAUGUACACUCACUGGCCACUUUAAUAGGAUCAUUUAUGCAGUUAUCCAAUCAGUCAAUCAUGUGGCAGGAGUGCAGUGCAUAAAAAUUUGCAGAGCUUCAGUUAUCAAACAUCGGACUAGGGAAAAAUGUGAUCUCUUUGACUUUGAGUGUGGCAUGAUUGUUGGUAACAGAUGGGCUGGUUUGAGUUUUUCAAAAACUGCUGAUCUCCUGGGAUUUUCUCACACACACACACACACACACACACACACACACACACACACACACACACACACCUCUAGAAUUCACACAGCAUGGUGUGAAGAAAAAAAACCUUCAGUGAACGUCAGUUCUGCGGGCAGAAACGGUGUGUUAACGAUAGACAUUAGACUAGUUUGAACAAAUAACCAUUCUUUACAAACAGGGUGAGCAGAAAAGCAUCUCAGAAUGCAAUAACAUGUCAAACCUUGGAGCUGGACCUUCAACAGCAGCGGACCACAUCAGGUUCCAGUCCUCUCAGCCAAGAACAAGAAUCUGCGGCAAAACUGGUCAUAGACUCACUGAAUCAGGACCGUUAUAUUUUUGCUACCAGAUGAUUGGUUGAUUGAAUAACUGCAUGAAUUAGAAGAUGCACAAUUGAAGUAUUAUUCAAUAAUAAUAGUAUUAUUCUACUAUUAAAGUAGCCGGUGAGUGCUCUCCCUAACAUGACCUCGGCAGAAAGCCUAGGUAAGCAUAAAGAGUACGUAAAAUCAUUUGGGGGGAAAUAUGCUUAUGUUUUCCGAGUAGAACGGUGAAAGUUACAAGAAAAGAAAUUCUAAAUAUGUGAAUGCAUGUGGACAUGUAACUACUGGUGAGGAGUGCAUUGUCAUGCGUUUUUAUUGACAGAGUAAGAUUUCUCAUAGAAAUUGAACGUUUGAGACAUCCAUUGUAGUAAAUCUUAGAGUGACAAACCAAGAUGAUUGUAAGACAUCACUGAGCUUCGAUGGCCAACCUCUACCUGUAGCUUUUAUUUUACAUUCCGCACCAGUUGGCCCUCGAUAGCACUCAAUCACAGAAUAUCUUGAUUUGGUGUCAGAGGCUGGCUGAAACAGAGGGUAGACUUCAGCUAAGGGAAUCAGUGCAUCUUAGAGUAAUCCAAACAAGCAAAGUAAGCAAACCACAUACACACCUAGUUUUACUCACCUGCCUGUGCUCAUCUGAUAUUACUAAUAUUGCUAAAAUGAAUAAGUAAUAUGUAAAAUUAGCUAUGAGAUGAGCUAGUAAUAUUUUGAUAUAAUAGUUUGUUUGACUACAUUCCAAAAAACAUACUACUCCUAGAAACAGACUGUUAGUAUAAUCACACCACUGUAGAUAUUCGUGGAAGCCUAACAACUUACUAAAAAGACAUUAUAUGUUGGUUUUUCCCAUUGAUUUGUCAACCAUCUGUAUUCAUCGUUUCACACUAAAUGCUGUUAAUGUACGCUGAAAGAUUAUUCCCCCAAAACAUGUGCAAUCACAGAGUGACAGAUGCGCUCUAUACACACUAAGAUGCUCUAAAACAAUUCCAUUACAACUCAAUAUUCUGUAUCUAAGAGAAGGCACAUGGGUAUUAUUAAAAAAAAAAAAAAUCAAUAUUAAUGUGCCAUGUGAAUAACUGCAGCUACUGCAAAAAAACAAGGCUGGUUUAGAGGAAAUUAUGGCUUUCAGAUGUCUCCAUUGAUGUAGCUAUCAAAUUCUCUGCAGUGGUUAUGGGCCUUAAUCUCAUAACCUGCAUACAAAACACUGAGAGACUUAAGUGUAAAAGUAAAACUGUUGUAGACCAGAAACGCUUAUGAUUCAAUACUGCACUUACUUGGUCAAACCAAAGUUUAAUUCUCUUCCAUCUCCUAUUAAACCAGCACCAAAUAAACUCGUCCGUGAUCAACUAGUUCAGCAUGAAGAAGGGUGCCUGGUGUUACACAGAAAGGUGGACUGUAUUACUCCAGAGAGGUAAACAUAAACCCAAUCUUAACUCAAUGGACCAAACCCAAGACCACCAUCAUGGUGUGUUCGUUAUAUUGCGUUUAAGUUUAAAUCCACCCCCACAGAGCGGGUUUAAUACGAGUCUUGAAUAUCUUGUUUUGAAAAGAGAAAACCCUGUCUGUCUGAUACUUUGCAUUAUACAAGUUAGUUCUGGUCCACUAAGCUGCUUGUAUUUGCUCGCCACAUAAAAUUCCACUUCCUAGUUCGAAACCAUCACUACAGUACUCUUUGCGACAUCAUCAGCGGACAUGGCAAACGAUACUUUCCAGGAAUACAACUUUUGAUUUAAAAUAGGAAAGCUCGUCAGUUGAAGAUUAAAAGGAUGAAAGGAUUUUAGGAAUGUACAAAUCAAUGUGAGCUAGCUAGCAAGCUAGCCAACGUGCUAUAACGUGAGCGUGGCUUCUUCGGGAUCUAUUUCCUCUAGCGGAGCAAAAUAUAACAGAACAUCUGGCCAUAGUCUGUCCAAAAUGUCACUCAAUAUUAAUUUAUUGUUGAUAGAACUGAAAAGCAAUAUCACACUCGCAAUCAUGCGAUUACCUACGGCCAGAUCACAGCCGUACUGAUAUUCAGUAUAACCGCACUUUUGCUCAGUCCAGGUAAAGCAGGAUCAGUGCUUAAUUACAGUGAACCAGAAACAGCACUUUAACACACCUGCCUGAACUCAUCAGCUAAUUAUCAGGCACUUCAUGAGUUCAUUCAGAUGUGCUGAAGCAGGGAAAACAUCACACUCUGUAGUGCUAUGGCCCCCAGGGCUAGUGCGUGACACCCCUGCCGUGGAGAGAACAGGAGUCGCUGAAAAACAGUGUAGAAACUGAUUCGGGUAGGAAUAGUGAGCAUGUAAUGAUCUGAAUGGGGGUUAACGUGGCUUUAGGAACAGCUGAGCAGCAGCAGCUCACUAAUGGGCCUUGGCUCCUUAAAGAGUGUUGAGGAUUGUGAGAACAUGUCCGGACAUGCUGGCAAUAUAAAAGCCAUCAAGUACACAAAUGGUCAGAAUGCACGCAAAUAAAUCACUCUUUUCAUUUGUGAGAUUGUUGAAAGCAUACAAAAAGGUCAUUAGAUGAACAAAUCCUGCACAAAAAGCAAUGAGAAAUGAGUGUAUGAGUAAAGCUUUUAUCGACUGAUCUAAGUGCCUGAUGAUUAAAUUAGGAAAUGCCAUCCAAUGGCUAAAUAUAAACAGUUUUCAUUUGGUGUUGGUUUGUAAUUUUGGGUUUGGUUUUAACCUGAUGACUCGUCAGAUUUGCAAACCCUUGUACUGACAAAACGCAAUCACGAGUCAUCAAUGGAGACGCAUGAAAAUAUCAGGCGUGAGCGGUUAUCCGUCUUGGCUGUUCACUUGCAACUGGGUGUGAUCGAGUACCAAGUCUAAAGAGGGCCAUAGUUCAAGAGACCAUUUAAUGCUAACACAAUAACAAGAGUUAAGAUCAGUGCGAGGGGUUAAGAAAGGGAUGAAAACGUUUAAAAGCAAGCUAAAAGAUGAAUGAGUCAUUCUCAUGAGAGAGAGAGUGCAAGCAACACAACUGAAAACACCUUAGCUUACCACAGUGUCAAUUAAAGAUAGUGACUUUACUUGUUGCCACUGUAACCAUCUCUUACUGGAGAUAGCUGCAGAAAAUGUUUCCUAUUAAUUUGGUUUAGAGAAUGAAUCAUGCAGGAGAAACAGAUUUUUUGCUUUAUUACAUGCACCGCAUUUAUACAUUUUGCUGUCAGAAAGAGAAACUAAAAGCGAAAGGGCAAAAAUAGUGUGUGUGUAGGAGUGUGAGAGUUUCUUGCUCUGCUACAUUAGGCUCUGGCUUCAGCUGUUGUAAAAACUGCCCUGUGGCAACCAGAGGCUGGAGGGGUUUUUUUGUGCUUGGUUGUCCAUUUUAAAUGGGCAGUCAGAUGUGGAAUACCAUUAGGCCCAUCUGCUGUCUCCUUACCACAGGAGAGCAGCUGCCCACAGACUUACUGAAACCAUUACCACCACUCCAAAUCAAAUCUUUACCACCCUAGCAGAGGACAAUAUUAACAAGAUGGAAGCCAAUUAGAGAAUCUCAACUUUCCAUGAACAUCGCAAGUUUAAUAACAAUGACACUGGUAUCAAUCUCACACGGCUAGAUCCCCAGUGUCAACAGAUUAAAACUCACUGGAAUGAAACCCAGGCAAACGAGACUGCUCUUCAACUCUGUUCAAGCAGCAGGAUUCUGCCACAAACCCCCACUUCAUUCUGACCCAGAGAAAUAGGAAAGCAGUUGGUAACCAACACACUGGAGGUUUCUCGAGAAAGUGCUGCUUUUGAGUCUCUGAACUUCCAAACAGAAGGACUUGCAAUUUACACUUUGUAAAGAGACUUACUACAGAAAGUGCAAGCUUUGCACUAGUUAAAGUAGGUCAAAUGUGCCACUACUGGGAGGGUGGGUGAAAGAUUUUGCCACAUUUGUAGGAUGCGAGUGAGUACAUGAAAAAAAUGACGUGUAAUUUUAGUGUUAAUCCAAGGUUUAUCCUACUAAAUUCCUUUGCAUAGCUUUAGUAGGUCUACCUUAAUUCUAUCUAACGUAUGACUGGCACUGCUUCCCACUACCACCAAUUUUCCCAGGCCUUUUUUUAGCCAGGCUGUCCACACCUUCUUCGCCUCUUCAGCCAGUAAGUAUGUUUAUGAGGCAGGGUUUCUGACACCUUAACUAAAAUGUUCAGAUUUGUAAUGACCAUCAUGAAGGAGGUGGUCAAAAACAUUUCAUACACUGAUAAAGACACCCAUACAAACUCAGUGUCCCUCAAAGACCCAGUGCUUCCCAGAAGCUAAUCGCAUUAUAUCUUUUGUGCUCUUAAGAAGCGAGAAAUGUAAAGCUGUACAGUAACCUUCAUCUGUUUCUACUGACCACCGAGAGACCCUUUCGGCAUGAGUCUCCUCCUUAAAAGUGCUGUAAAGUGACAGCGCGCAGUGCGCAAGCUACCUUUUCACAUCUCUCUUCAAUUGACCUGCAAUCAUUGGCUUCCAUUGUCACCCCCGAAGCUGCUAUCCUUUCCAUAACUAACCUCUCUCAUAGGCAGUAAUCAUCACGGGGGAUCUAAAAGGAUUACGCUGAUGGCUGUCACAAAGUUGGGUGGGUUCCGGCAGUGGUGAACAGUUUAUGUCCAGAAUCUGAUACGAAGUACCAUAGAAAGAGGAGGGAUAAGAAAGGAGUUGAUUUCUAGAUUUUUCUGGAGAUACAGAGAAAUUCUCCUAAAGCCCUAUUGAGCACAGUGACCUUGGAAGGCUAUUUUUAUAGUGUCAUUCAUAUAAGGGAGGAGAAAAAGAAGCCAAGCCUUUGAAAAACCUUUACACAUACUGUCUUUUGGAGUAUAAACAUCAAAGGGAAGUGGAGAGUGACAGCAGCAGAAAGACUGGUCCAAGUUCUCAUUUUGCUAUUACUGUUCCAGAGCAAUUACAGGAAAAGAAUGAAAAUGUGAAGGUUAGAGAAAAUGGAGGUGUGCUUUAGAGGAUAAGGAGAAGAAAUUUAGGACAGAAAUCUUGAGUUUUAGCAAAAGCUAUAAAAACCUACAAAAGCCUAAGAGAUGUCAGGUUUAAUAGAUAUAAAGUGAAGAUUUAGCCCACCUGGUGGGUGCUUGAUUGGCUUUUGGUUGUUAUAUUCUCUGCUCGCUUUCAAAUGCUUGUCAGAAUCCGGUGCAGUAUAAUUUAACCCCCGCAGAGCACCAAACAGAAAAAAACCCCAAACCUUAAACUUAACGAUAUUACAGCUGCAAACGUGAUUAAACAUAUGCCUUAAGGUGGGACAGCAGUGGUGCAGAAAAUGUAAUCAAGCAGGAACCAAACCCAGCAAAAACUGCUCUUUAUGGUAUUUUGGAAUUGAAUGUGACUGAUAUUUUAUAUGCAUAGUUAAAUCCAACUUCAGAAGUGGUCACUUUAGCAAAAAUGGGCUGCUCUCGCUGAAUCUAUUAGAUACAGCUUUUAAUAAAGUUAACCAUGAUAUUCUCCUGGCCACCCUCUCCACCUUGGUUUCAUAAAAACUGCACCGAGAUGAUUUAAGUCGCGGUAAGUCAGGAAACCACUGCUAUACCUUCAGGUUCUGUGUUUGGCCCGCUCCUUUUCUUUUGAACACCAAUUUGUAUCAGUUUUCCAUCCACGCUGAUCACAGUAUUCUGAUAAUAUUUUGCUUUAAACUCCCUGUAAAGUGCCCUGACACACGUAGCCUUAUUCAAUGUCCAUGGAAACAGGAAGUCAGGGUGGGACAUAUCGAGUGGCUCCUCCCCCUUUUUAAAUAGCCAACAGCGUUUAGCUUACCUCACAGCUAGAAAACUUACAACAGCUGGGGCUGGGACACUUCAGAGUCUAAAGAGCAUUUGAUGGGACAGAAAAUCUGAUGAGAAGCCAAAGUGGAGAAUGAGGUCAUCAAAAUGGUUCAUCCGUAUUGGCGGUAGAGAGACUGUCAAUUUAGAACGCGGAUGUCUUCCAAAUGCAAAUUUUAUCAUUGUUCUUCCAUUUUGAUUUCAUGGGGACUUUGUCCAGUGUCCAUCCUCAGGAGAAUGCCAUGGUCUCAGCACACAUUUAUGUUUGCCUUACAGCCAAAAUGAAGGAUCUCCAGAUCAAACAAACAAACCAAAAUCAAUCCGCUUCUGAUAAAGCAUUCCAGACCAGUACUGGUAACUUUCUGAAAAAGCUUUCCAAGCCAGUACUGCAUCCCCAACUAUGUAUCUUUAUGCACUGGUCAUUUCUAUUAAAUCAGUCAUUGGCUCCAGAGUGUCUGACAGAUGAGGUUUUUAUUUGGUCAGGGUGAACUGAAACUUGCCAUUUUGAAAGACUCCAGAAAGAGACAUUUUACAAAUCAGCAGUAUGGGUUAGUGCUCAAGAUGAUUUGAUUGGCAAGUUAAACCAUGGCAUGUACUGUAUAACCGAUUUUUAUCUUUUUGAGAAAGAAGUUCAUAUUCAUAUUCACAAAUAUGCAUUGUGCUAAAGGUCACUGCAGCAGGAGAGCUGAAAAGUAUGAUCUGUUUUACAUUCUUGCCAUAGCAAAAAGUCAGUGCAAGCAGAUAGAAGGCAGCAAUAAACCCUCUGGCAGAGAUGGAAUUGCAUCAUUAAGUCCUUUUUUAAGUAUUCUUUUUUUAAAUAUAUCCCCCCCCCCUACGUUCUUGCCAGCCUUGUCCAUCAAACAAAUCUGACACAAAAUUGUGACAGUUGAAGUCAGAUCACUUUCAAAAGACUCUUAAUCAAUACUCCUAAUGAAGGCAACCUUAGGUAACAAUCGAUGAUCGUCUUCGACAGACACAUGACAUUUUCUCUGAGAGCACUUGAAUAUGAUUGUAAAAACACCCACAACCCCUUCCCUUUGAGUGUCUAUGUAUAUAUUAGUCUAUCCUUAUGCCUUAUGUAUUGAGAUGCAAUUACCAUUUAAUGUAAACCAGCACAAAUUACAGUUACUAUAACUGUACAUACAUUACUAUAUUUACUGUUAUUAUUAUUAUUAUUAUUAUUAUUAUUAUUAUUAUUAUUAUUAAGCAUUAUUAACAUCAUGUGUAGUUCAGCUGAUUGCUUUAUGACUAAUAUUAGUAGCAUGCCUUUGUAAUCGCACUUACUCCAAUUGUCUUUACUUGUCAUUUCCUCUUCAGUUCUGAGGCAGUUAUAUUGAUGCUGGCUGUUCAAACAGCUACAGUGCCCUGCAGACUUAUUAGCACCUACAUGAAAAUGAGCAAGAACUAAUAUACAGUUACAAUCAAAAUUAUUCAACUCCCAUUGCCAAUCAGGCUUACUGAAGCUUUGGUGUCAUUGGGCCUUCCAACCGGACAAUGAUCCUAAGCAUACCUCAAACUCCACCAAGGCUUGGUUGCAGGAGAAGUCCUGAAAGAUUCAGGGCCAUCAGGUGACUAUGACUUGAACCCCAUAGAAAAUCUCUGGUGGGAUUUGAAGAAGACUGUUGUAGCACAUGGGAAUUUGGGGAAACCACUUGAAGCAUCCGUUGUGUUGAACUAUUUCAGUUGCUUUUGUUUGAUUUGUUCAUUGCAAACAGCUGAAAGUCUGUUAAUUUUGACAAUAAACUUGAUUUGCAAUGGAGGUGGAAUAAUUUUGAUUGCAACUGUAUAAAAAAAACAAAAAAAAAAAAACCACCACACACACAAAAUAAGGGAUAUUUUCAGCUUCAUCAUACAGGAACUUUGUAUAAUUAAUAUUUUGUGAUGCCUGCCAGGGACCGAAUAAAAGCACUGAGUGUCUUCUAAAGUCUAAUAAGGUUGGACACACAUUUAUAGGAAUCUUGUUCCAUUUCUCCAUGCAGAACAUUUUAGGGGGCGUUCACGCUGGCACGUUUAUUCCGAAACAGAGCACGGUUUGCAUGACGUGAAAGCGGCAACACGGACCUGGAAGCGCACCACGGUACCGAACUUAGACUUGCUGUGGGAGAUGGUUUGAGUUCGGCUGCACUGGAACUGUGCUGCGAUUCCUAUGACUGUGAGCUCAACUUGUACUCGGGUCCGCACUUGGUCAGGAAGUAAAGUUACAUGCGCGUGUUUUAGUCCAUGAUGACGACCAUCAUUCGUUUCCAUAGCACACGUGUACCAUGAGUGGCAGGGGGAUGUUGUGGGAUACAAAAGAGGUCCUCUGCUGCACAUAAUAUCUGCAGCGCAUAAUAGUACCAAAAUAAUUUCUUUAAAAAAAAUUAAAAAAAAAAAAAAAAAACUGUGAGUAGCGUUGUUUUCUCCAUGUGCGUUUAGGAUGAUGCACAAUGAACAAAAAUCCACCAGAGUUCGAUAGAAUCAAUUAAGUCUGAAACCAGACCAAUGCUGCAUGAGGCACCAGGAACAAUCGCACUCAUUUUGGAACCACAGUAAGGUUCAAAAUCAGAGACUGAGCUAGGGAUUGCGAAACUUUGAGUUAGUGUGUCUUUAAGCAUUCCGGUGUUGAUUUGGAAGUAUGUUUGGCUCAUCGUUUUGUUGAAAUUUUCAUACGAUUUCUACUGACUUAAUGCGUAUGCAGGGUAUAACAUAUCUGAAUACCGACUGCAGUAUUUGCAUACUGGUGCCUCGAACGGCUAGUCUGGUAUUCAAAUAUCUUGCACUGAGAGUUAUCAAGUUCUGAGAGGUCUAAAGGUUAUAAAAAUAACUAAUGUCUCAAAAUCACUGACGAGCCUAAAGGAGAUCCUUUCAGAGUUUUUUCGAACACAGGUAACAGCAGAAAUAUUAGCCAAACCCUUGCUGGCAAACAUAAUAAGACUGUACGGAGUCACAGAGAUCAACACCACCCCUUCCCCUGUGAACUCCAGUACUGUAUUACUUGCUUAUUUUAUCGGUCAAGCUGUCAAAAAGACAGAAGACACAAUCCAAUUUUGUUAUAUAUUUUUAUGUCUCACUUUUGCUAUUCGGAUUCAUAUGGCCCUUCAUAUUCAAGUCGCCGAGGGAAACUUCAUAACUCCCCAGAGCUAUAAAUAAGCCCUGACUGCAGCAUAAUAAGCAAUAAGACACUAAAACUGCUUGAAAAUGGAUUUGCCUAGCAGACAGUGUUAUAGAAAAGUUCUGAUUUAUUAACACAAACAAGCUCCUCUUUUUUUUUUUGAUAUCAUCUCUCAUGGAGAUUCUUGUAAUACAGAAAAGGAAGAACUAUAGACAUGUAGAAGAGAAGAAUUUUUGAAAGUGUUUGAAGAAAUUUUUUUUACAAGGAAUUCAGUCGAGUUCACAUACCAUUUAUCAAUGCACACAGCACACACCUGGACUCGAUAAAAAAAAUAAUUACGAGAAGAAUUCAGUAUAAAUUCCUACUAGGAAAGCAAUGUGUUUUCUCUAUCUCUCCCUUCUCCCACCUCUUUUUUUUUUUUUUUUUUUUUUUUUUAUCCUGAGACCAUAGCAUAUGCAACACACGGGUCCUUAGGGAGAAGGCAGGCAGAAUAGGAGGAGGCUCUCGGAUUUCUUGCCAUGAUCCUGCUCAUUAAUCACACUGAGUGAACCUGUGCAUGGGCUUCUGUUCGCCUUCGGGUGAUCAGGGUGGUUUCUAGCAGUCCAUCAUUCAUAAGGCUGCGGACGCCAAAAAAGAACACGGACUAAUUUCAAUGCCGCAUAACCAACCCCGGAAAGUAAAUGUGCGGUGGGCAGGGGCUGUAAUUGAGAUAGUUCCCAUUCAUAUAAACAUUGCAACUUAUCUGAUCAAAUGGUUAUAGCCACAGGCGCUAGAAUGGGGAGAAAUGAGUGCUCAGAUCUAAAUAGUUCUGCCCAAGUACAAACAAACAAAGAGUUGCUCAGAUGAAAACACAAACACACACCCCCACAUUGAGCGACGACGUCUGGCUGUAUUGUGCGGAGACACGGGCAUAAAACAUACACCACAAAAGAGCUGAACCUGACUGUGGUGACAACGCUACCAUUCAUCAACCACAGCAUGCCUGCCUGACAGCACCUCCCACUGUGUCUGUGUGUGUGUGUGCGCGCGCAUCAGUGAGCGAAGGAGCACUGAAUAUUUAUUCAUUUGCAUGCAACGGCAUUAAACGAUGUGUGAAUCUGGCUUGGAUGAUAAGGCUUUCUUUCUUUGCAGACUUGUAUACAUGAGUGACAAACACACAAAAUAGGAGAGUGGAUAAUAACGCCUUCUGAUGUUCUAAUAUUCCACAUGGGACUACAAAUUGUAGAGGGGGAUGAUGAAAAUAACACUGCAGAUGAUACAAACUAGGACAUCAUAGCACCAUGUGUGCACCAUAAGGCUAGCUAAUCAAUAUUACCAGCUCCACUAAUUAAGCAUUUAGAAGAAACUUUCCCGAACCCCCCCCCCCCUCUCCAGCACUUUAAUAACUAGGAGUAUUAAAAAAGCAAAAAACUCACUUCGCUCAUCGUCAUCCAUAAGCAGAGCUCUCCAUCAGUAGGGGUGGAAAUAACUCGGGACUUCUCAAUUUAAUUUUAUUUCAAUUCAGGAUGCCACUAUGUGAAUAUAAAACGAUUCUUUAUGCACAUUUAUUUCUUUUUAUAGUCUGCAUUAUGAUUUUUUGUUCCUACAUAACUUGCUGCUUUAAAAAAAAAAGAAAAAAGUACCAAGCUUUAUAUUUGCAUUAGGGCUUUCAGGAUAUGUUUCACUGUUCAAAUGUUUUUAAUAUUCAUAUUUUUUAAAUCAAUGUUCAAACACUUAAGAUACCCAUAUUCUACUUUUCCUUGCAGAACACAGGCCGAGUCAAUCAAACCAUGCAUUUCUCAAUCAUUUGUGACUACAUGACACUGCUUUCACUAUGGCGGAUCAAUGGUGAAGGCUCUGGGAUACUGAUCAGAAGGUCAGGGGUUCAUGCGCACUGCCAAGCUGCCACUGUUGAGCCCUUAACCCUCUCUGCUCCAGUGGCACAGUAUCAUGUCUAACUUUGCACUCUGACCCCAGCUACCCAACAAGCUGAGAUAUACAAAAAAUCUAUCUAUCUAUCGUUGCAUAAUCAAAUUAAUGAUAUAAAUACACUAAAUCUGGUCAAUUUUUUUGCGCAUUUUGAAUACACUUAAUCUAAAUAAAUACACUUAAUGGAAUGAAGUAACCGAAAUUUUUUAAUAGCAUGCAUUUUUCCUUAGAAAUUUAUGCAUAAGACCAUGUAAAAGUCUAAUUAUGACAUUCUGUGCAUGGAGGAAGCAGCACUCAAGAGAGAAAGCAAUGCAUCUAUGGAUUUUUCCUCUCCCAAUCCAAAUGUAGUCUGAAAACAUGGCAGGGAUUCCAAUUUUAAUUGUGGCCCAUUGCUUAUGCUCCUGAAUGAAAAGCAGAGAUGAAUAAGAGAAGCUGAAAAGUUAGCAGGGAUUAUGCUUUGGCAGGGUCGAGAGGACGGCUUGUAGAAACCGUAAAUCAGCCCUUAGUGGGUGGAUAAUAAUCUCAGGGAUAAUGAGAUACAUGAAGACAAGCUUAUGAGAGGCAGCAAAAGGUGUGAGCGCCCUAAAACAGGUGGGACCUCGAGAGAAAGAUCCGAUACGCAUGCAUCUAGCUUUAGUCUCAAAGGUUUCAAUUGAAUUCAGUCACACUAACAAGGCCUGUCUGAAACGUGUCAGCUCUGGAAUGAGAGGAAGAGAUGAGGGUUGGUUGUUGCACAAAAUGUCUUCUUAAAGUUCAAGUUCAACACUACACACACACACACACACACACACACACACACACCUCAGUACAUGCAGGUGUGUAAUUCGCUUAAUACAUAUUAACCUGAACGGUGGGCAGAAAAUGUAGCAGUAAGCAAACUAAUUAUGUUGUAAUGGUGUGUAAAGUUGAAGGUUAGGGUUAAAGGAAAGGGGAAUAAUCUGCUAUUCAAAAACCAUCUUGUACAUUCUGGAGAUUCAAAGUCAUAUCCAGGGCUUCCAAAAUGUAGGAAUGUCUUGGAAUAAGAUUUUGGGUGUAGGUUAGUUUUAAACACUAAUAAGAUAUUUUGUAUUAAAUGAACUCUAUGGCCAACAUAUUCACAAGUAUUACUGUAAAACUGUAUUUUCUAACUGCCAUUUGUCUCUUGAAUAUAACAAGUCAUGGAGAUAAGCUUUAUAAUAACUGUAUCCAUACAGUUAUAUAACAUGUAACGUAUAAGGUUACAAACCAGAUAUAAGGUUACAAACCAGAAUUUGGCGACAUCAGAGAUACAAGUCACCCAUUUUAAAUCACAGGGGUGAGCAAAAAUUUGUUAGCUAGUACACUGGGAUCCAUUAAUCUCAUUUAAAUUUAUUAUCCGAGUCUGACCAGUGUCUUUAUUUUCUGUCAGCAUGUUUAACCACGAUGUGACUGCGACUGUGACGUGCUGUGACUGCUUUGUUCCGAACUUUAUUUUACUCGGUUCUGUCAGUUUCCACACAUCUGCAUGGUUCUGAUUCUGAAAGGAUCAUCGUCGUCAUCAUUUGUGCAUGCUAAUUAAACACUUAAUUAAAUAAAUAACUAAACAAAUAAACAAACAUUCCAUCAUCAACGUGAUCUCACAUCAGCCGUUGUAUGUAGCGCAGCAGGUCGUGGGAUUUAUAUGCGUGCACUAUAGUUAUAGCACUGAUGUGACUCACAUCGCCGUAAAGCAUGUUAAUUAUUAAACAUACAUACCGAAUGAAAACUUAUUGGAAUUUUUUGUGAAAAUCCAUCCAUCCACCCACACAUCCAUUUUCUAUACCGCUUAUCCUACAGGGUCUUGGGGAACCUGGAGCCUAUCCCAGCAGACACGGGGCACAAGGCAGGGUACACCCUGGACAGGGUGCCAAUCCAACACAGGGCACAAUCACAUACACAUUCAUCCGCCCAUUCAGACAAUUUGGAAAUGCCAAUCAGCCUACCAUGCAUGACUCUGGACUGGGGGAGGAAACUGGAGUACCCAGAGGAAACCCCGCAGCAUGGGGGAAGAACAUCCAAGCUCCACACACACAGGGCCGUGACAGGAAUCAACCCCCCAAGAAUGGAGGUGUGAGGCGAGCGUGCUAACCACUAAGCCAUCAUGUGCACUUUUUGUGAAAAUCAAUAAGGAAAAGUUUUUUUUCUGGUUAAACCUACUGUUCGCUCUGCCAAUUAUGAAUAGAAACAAAUAGCCCAGACACAAACUCUGCUUUGUCACAUGUGCUCAGGCUAGAGAUUUGUCCACCACUGGAUCAAUGUGCUGAUUUAUUGCUUUGGCACAGAGUACCUAAUAUAAAGCAAAAUAGCAUAUAUACAUAGGGGGGGGGGGAAAGUGAGAGUCUAAUACCAAAUGUGUGAAAAAACCUGGGCAAUCCUAGACAGCAUUCAGGGAAUAUAUAAACAGACAUGUACCUGCAUGCUUUUUGCUUUUAUUACUUUACACAAAUAAAUGUCAGAUUCUAGCUUUUCACUCUGUAUUGAAGUCAAAGCAAAUGGAAAUGGAGAGAAUUAUCAGCUUUUUCGCAAGGCUAAAAAGCACACUUGGAUAUAUAAAAAAGUGAACCCAUUCACUUCCUCAGUUUAAAGAGCAGGCAACCAGGUGUUUUGCUGAAUGCAGAUAUGGCUUCUGUCCACUCCUGGAAAGGUUGCUUAGUCCUCCAGCUCUGUGAUCGGAGAGGUCACUUUCCCCAAGUCUUUCUUCAAACGGCACUCAUCCCAAGACUGUGGUCCAUUCACGAGCCAAAGAAAACAGCCCUAAGCGCUCUGCAGUCUAAUCAACCACUUCCAGCCAUCUCUCUCUUCCUCUCUGAUCCCUACAGCCUUUAGUCAUGUGGGUAUGAAACCCUGUAUGCUUUUAUACGAAAGAGGAGAGACAGAGAAAGAGCAAGCAAGAAGCAAUCUGAAAGUUUAAGAGAGAGACGGGGAGGGAGACAGGGAGCCAUCAACAUUAAAAGCUCCGUUUACCUUAAGUAAACAUUUUGUCCAAGAGAGAUCAUGAGCAAACAAUCUGCAAUUAGGCCGAACCACUUAUAUUCUGAAUUAACGCAUCGUCUAAUCUACAGUGGCUUAUCGACUCGAGAAAGCAUUACAAUGCCUGGUCCAUUGAGCCUGCCACAGGUACUAAAAUAACGUGGCCUGUAAUGAAAAUUAGUGUCUGUGACUUUACUGCUACUUUUACAGCAGAACAGAUGCCAAGGUAACAUUUAAUGUGCGCACAUGAUAAUGUAGUAAUGUCCAUUAGUAACUGGACAUUGACUUUUGUUGUCACUGCCCAAUACUGGAUUUGAAGAACACAAUGCAAUGAGGAUAAAUGACAGACUCUCAGUUUUGAUUGGAGAGCAUUUACAUCUGUUUUGUAGAGCUGGGCAAGACAAUAAAAUAUAAAUAUUGUGAGAAAUAAUGGAAAAAUACACUAACAUGUAUUGUCAUAUAUCUGUUUCAUUACAUAACAUUAAAAGAACUUUACAAACUCUGAUUGGAGGCAGCUGAUUUUAUCUUUAUUUUUCACUCAAAUUAAUUUUUUUCUCCAUUUCAGUUUUAGGAAAUUUAUUUUUGUAAACAUUAAAUACAAGUAUCAUUAAACUUCUAAAACCUAAUCUUUUUAUUUUUAAUAGAUGGAUUUUUUUUUUAAUGCAACACUGUGCUAGCAGUCCUAUAUAUUGUGUGCAUAUCAUUUAUUGUAGAAAUGUCUUCAAAUAUUGUGAUGGUAUUUUUGGCAUCACAAUAUUGGCCACCGGAUGAAUUAUAUAUGGGUCACCACUGUGUUUUUUUUUCUUUUUCUAUUUAACACAAUGACUAUAAAUAACUGGAUAUAUUAUCCACCUUAAGGAAAAUUGCUAUCUUUAGUAUUUCCUUACAGAUCAAAUGUUGGGUAUCUCCACAGUUCAUGGUCUUGCAAUCUGUUUUCGUUGUUAUCUUUAGCGAGUGAAAUGAAUUGCCAUUUUGGUCAGGUUUUGACGAUACAAAAACUAUAGCUGCUUUUGCAGUAUCUUUCAGACCCUGGCCUGCUGAAGAUGAAGUAUCAUCCAUGAAGAUGUGGGCCAUUUGUUUGGAUUUGUGUUUCGAGUUAAAAUGCUUCAAUAAAAUUCUCAUUUCAGAAUUCAUCCCGCUGUUGCAGUUGGCAGUCACAUCAAUCACGCCAAGAAAUCCUGAUCCACCAGCCACCAGACAUGAUCAUGCUACCAGUGUUUCACAGAUGAAGUGAUGUUCUUCGGAUCAUUGGCAAUUCCUUUCGACUUUGGAUCAGUCUAGCUGGUUGAGAAACAGCCGAGCAUAAACGCAUUCAAUUACUUUGAAAUCCUUUAUUUCAGGAACCCUAAGUAAAUCACCCGUAAAUUAAAGGUUAAAAAAAAAAUAAAAAAUAAAAAAUAAAAAAAAGGUCACCUUUAAAUUGAAGGAUAAUUACAUUUUUACAUUAGAUUCACUCAGCCUAGGAGAAAUGGUAUAAUCAGUGUACAAUUACUUACAGCCUGCACACUAUGUUAUGCACUUGCAUUAUAAAGCUCUCAGUUAAAUAUGUCAAAGAUGGGUAUUAUUACAGACUGACAUGUACUAUAUGCCAAUUAGAUGAAACAUUGAAGAGUUUGACUUUUACAAGGACAUAACAAUGAAUCGUGGAAUAGUUGAUAAAUCUCUAACAACACUGUGUCGCUGAACAAGGUAUAGAAGGUAAGAAAAAGGUAUAAUAUGCAGGCAGAUUAUAUAAAAUAGCACAGUCUGGAGAAUGGUAUUACCAUUUGAGUGAACAUUCCAGAAGCCAUACAAAAUCAUCCAGGGGUCCUAGAGGUGGAACAUCCCCCAGCCACCCACAUACAAACGCAGAGUCCUCCCGCAAGUCGAUGUUCACCGAGUGAACACGAUCUAGGUUAUGUACGUACAAGGGCACUGGGAUGUCUGUGGUCAACACGAACUGAGGAAUGUGGGUAAAAGUCAAGGGGUAUGGGUCGGCUGAAGCUCACUGGAGCAAGAGAUUGGCAGCAGAACAUACACAUAUGCAGAAAAAGAUGGAAGGGGUAACAGUACAGGGGGACAGUGGCACUGCUUAAAGUGCUAUAUAAAAAGUGCCUAAUUUUGUUUUAGAGGUCUCAUACAAUAGAUUUACAUGCACCCAAGGUAUAAAAAAAAAAAAAAAAAAAAAAAAAAAUAAAAACCCUUUAAUUUUCUCAUAAUCUGCAUUGCAGUAUUAUCUCUUUUUCUCAGGGUCACAAACGGCUCGCUCAAUGAUCCGUUCACUCUAAACUCCUCCUUUUAGGGAGCCUACUCUGCUCUGAUUGGUCAGAUCUCCCAGUCUGUUGUGAUUGGUUUACCACUGUUAGCGCGUGUCAGAAAGGAAUCGCCCAUCACCAUAUCUGAAUUCCAGCUUAGUAAUGAUGUCGUCAGUUUAACAUUAUCAAUAACCUUAUCAAAAUACAUAAAUAAGUAAUCAAUCAUACUUAAAGGUUGUGAUCCAGAGGCACAAUAUGGUCAAAAUAAAGUGGGUACGGCCCAGUCUUUAAUGAAUAAUCAUUUCGCAAAUCCCGUGUUGACUUCGGCUAGAUUUGAGAAGCAGUUGUUAGUGAAAUGACGGGAACGUAAACGAAGGUCGGAGUUGAACUGCUGUGGUAACAUUUUAAAAAAUGAGUUCUAGCCACUGAUGCUUUAUCCUGAUCCUCAUCCUCUGAGAGUCAAUGCAAAGUGGUUUUGCUUUUGCAGCGCAGACAACAACGUCUUCUAGACAUGAACCUAACUUUCAAGACGCAACUACUGUAGUGUUUGAGGGCGGGUAAAAGUACACGUUCACGAGCAGCCAAUGAAGACCAGAGGUGGGCUUUGUACAGGAAGUCUGGAAUUCCUGACGAAUCGGUUCCUUCUUUUGGGAGUCAAUAACUCGUUUGUCGUGCACUUUGAUUUUUUUUUUUAACUUUGCAGAUUUUUUACAUUCACAAACAGCUACAUAACAUUACAUGAAAGGUAAUAUGUGAACAAGCAAAAUAGGGGUGCUUUAAUAGAAAACACUUUACAGCACAUUCCCAAUAAAUUGACAGGUUUAUACGAGUUUUAUACAAGAAAUGGAUGUUUCAUUUAGUGCAAACCAACCGACAAGAAAUAUGAAGACCUGUUCAAUUAUUUCAUUGAAAAUAGUUUAACAAUAUCUAGUAGUACUGAAGAAACAGUCUAUAUUGUUUUAAUACAUCAAUUCAGACUAUUAAAAGGGGAAACAAUGUAGUCAAUAAUAAUAAUAAUUUUAAAAAAUUAACUCUUUACAAGCUAUCCAAUUUAAAAGGAAGAGACACUUCCAUCUUACCAAGAGCAUCAUAUUAAACUGAUCCAACAUGAAGACAUGUGGCCUGCUUCACGGUUUGUUUCAGUGAGUGAGCUUUCCAAGCCUCCCUCAUUCUCUGAAGCCUGUUCAGAAUGAAGAAUAAAUCAGGCACCAUUUAAUGCCUAAUAAGUGCAAUUACCGCUAUUUAUUCUGUAGUCACAGGUUUGUGCCUGAGCUUUUAAGGUUGGCAGAUUGAAUCUGCAUUUUGGGAUGCAAAUAUGAAUCUAAUGCAAAUAACAUGAUUAGGACUGAAGGGAGGGAAAAGCAUGUGACAAUAUACAACAAUCAUGGUUUAAGAAACAUUUGGUUUAAAAACAUUUGUUUCUCUGCCACACAGUCAGUGCUGCCAAAAACGGAUUCUGAAUUAGUGAGAGGAGAUUGAUCAUGUGUAUAAAAAGACAAAAAAAAAAUAUCCCCACCCCCACCCUGUUGCAGCUGUCAAAAUCACACAACAUGCACAUGUAUAUGCAGUUGGCGAUCAUUUCAAACAUGUCUGAUCCCAUACAGCAGGACAAAAUCUGCAUGUUUAACUUCAUUAGCUAUGCGUCAGUUGGAGGCCUAUAGAUUAUGGCUAAUUAAGCAGCUUAAGAUGGCUUUAAACCCACACAGAAAAAUUAUCCAUCAUCCUGCUAAAGAUUUAGAUCCGACUGCCUUGUAUUUAUUUAUACACGUUUGUACAAGUUCUCUCUUUUCACAUCAGUUGAAUCCUAAAGAUUAGCAUAAUGCACAUACUAGACAACUAUUACAGACAUGCUAAAAGGCUUGUGUCUCUGAAACCAGUGGAGACCAAGGGGAGUGCCAAAAGAUGCUAAGACAUACAGUAUUAGCAUAACAUAUUAGCAUUAGUGACACAACAAGAGGCCCAUUGAAGAAUUGGUUCUCUGCUGGAAUGUUUAGGUGGUUCAGUACAAAAUUAUGAUUUGUAGCAAUACUAAUCUUUAGCAUUGUACAAAUGUUAUAAUGACACUAAGGAUGCUCAUGCUUAGCAUGUCAUGUAUUGUUAUGGCUUGCCUUAAUGUCGCUGAGAAAACAGUAUUUUGAUAUGCUGAAAGACAACAUGGUAUGACAUUUUAGCACAAUUUUAGCAUUAGCAACUGAGAAUUGUUUCACUAUGAGGAAACAUGAUUUCAUACAUUGGAAUGUGGAGUAGUCUGUAAUUAUAUAUUUUAUACAUACACACACACAUACAUACACACACAUAUACAUACACACACACACACACAAACAACACACACAUACACACAAUACACCUAUUACUUAGAAGUGUACAGGUGACAGCCAGGAUGCUAAUGAUAAGCAUACUAUUAAGAAAAAGUGAUAUUUCAAUGUGUAAACACAGCCAAGUGAAUGGACGCUCACUGUGUGCUCAACUGUAAUUAGACCAAUUUUAAUGGGCGGUGAUGAACAACGCACUUUGCUUCCUAGAGCUUCCGUCUCAUGCCAUUUCUUCUCUGUGAAAACACAGGCAGCUUAAUUCUUUUUGUCCCGGUAAGUGACAAUGCUCUUUCUUCACAGGUUUUGCAGGCAGUUUCGGCUUAGCCUGUUUGCAAAAGCAGCCGAGAUUCCUAUAGAGUUUGCUAAGGCGGGUGUUAACAGCAGAACAGCUUUAACCACCGCCUUUAGCACAACAGCACAGUGCCUGCUGACAUCAUGGUGAACAGAGAGCAGGUUGGCUGUUUUGAAACCGGUUAGUCUUGUUGGCUGACAGUAACUGCCAGAAACACACAAUCCAACAUGAAAAUGUAGACAUCUAGGAGGUUUUUCUUUCUGAUUAGUGCUUUCAAUCCUGCUGUCAGAAAAGCCUUAAAGUGCAAGAAAACAAACAUGGUUAAAAGCAAAUUCAUCUAAAAGAAUAGAGACUCUAAUAAUUGGCACUUUUAUGAAUCAGGGCUUUUUCAAUUUGUCAGCUCAAUGACUAGACUGCAAAUAUAUCACAGUCACAGUUGCCUGUGAGCAUUCGCAAGACUUGUGUUGAACUUCUCUCUGCCAAAAUGUCCAGCUUACAUCAUCAGUGUAGGUCAUAGAAAUCAUCGAGCAAACAGGGUUAAAGCUUCGUCUUCGUUCUCACACGGCACAAUAUCAAUCUGUGCAAUAUUGCUAUGCUCGGAACAGUAUUGACCCACAGAUGAAAGGGAACUUCUGUACAUGGGGAACAAUAACACCAUACACACGGCAUGUGUCAUAAAUUUAACAAUUUGAUUCUAGUAGGGAAGUUGUAGACCUUCUGUUUUGAGGCAAGCGUGAUGUUUUUCAUAGUGUUGUGAAGUCCAGUGGUGGAAAGAUACGUGCUUUCAUUGCUUUAGGCAGCAGACUACUGGCACCAGCAGAGAACCUUGUAGUCUGUCACAGUAUCAUUCCCCUCCUCUGUCUCUACAUUCCUCCACGACACAGUUAAAAAGACCCGUCAUGCCAAUCUGCCAGGUAUUACUCUGCUUUAUUUACUAGUGAGGGUGUGUGUGGGGGUGUGUGUAUAUAUAAAUAUAAACAUUCAAAUACACCUAAUAAAAGGUCCCAGAAUCUGACAGAAAUGUUAAACAAAUAUGAACAAAAAAAGCAGAGCAGAAGUGGCAAAUCGUGGUGAAAAUAGCUACAGCUGCACAGUCAAAAGGAGCCAGGAGAGGACACAAACGGGGGAACCAUUUUUUUUUAAAUCCGAGCAAGUACCAUUGGGAAACGAGCUUUCCGGUAAACAAAAGUCCCAUCAAGAUCCAAACCCAAAACCAGAGAUUUAUGCCUGGAUUUUUACAUUGAUGUGGAAAAAGCCGCAACAAAUUCAGAACACCAUGUUUAUUUCCUCCUGUUCAGCCCUAAUCCCAGGACAGCUAGCCGCCUUCGGAAUAACUACAGGCCCACUGCGGACACAACUAUCACCUUUGACCUCUGAAGCCCCGAUCCAGGAUCUGCUGUGCAACAAGGUCUACACUAUGGGAGACUACAGGAAGUGUGAGAGAUUAGAGAGUGUGUGUGAGAGAGAGAGAAAGAGAGAGAGAGAGAGAGAGAGCGUUCAUAUUACUAAACGUCAGCAAAUCUUUGGGUCACAGAAAGGCUAGUCACAAUCACUGUGAGAAGAAAACUACAUGAAGACAACAUGGCUCCCAAACUCGUGUACUGCAACUCCUCUGACCUAGCCCUGUUUCGUCAACACACACAGCAGGCAAGUUGCAGCAUCAAACUGACAGCAAGGAAGACAAAACCAGUCAGAAGCAUGAACACUCUGGACCAUCAGCAUUCCAGCGCUGACAUGUUUCUUGUGGGAUUUUUUUUUCCUACUUGAUAAAACGCCUCUGUUCCUCCCCAAGACACACAACUAUAAUUUAGUAAGUGUGCUAUGUGGCAAACUUUACUUUAAUUCCUCUACUUGACUUAAUCUUGACUCAUGAGACAUACAUACAUCUUGAGACUGGGUUUAGUCAUAAGUUUGAUCUUUGACUCACUUUUUAAAAUCUUUUUAAUAUCUAAGUAAAAGUAGAUUAUAGUAAGAGACCCAACAGUAAGCUAAGUAAGACAAGUAAACAAACAACAACAAUUUAAAAAAUAUAUAUAUACAGGAAAUAUCAGGUCACCAGGUGCUAAAUAUUAACAACCGAUUUGUUAAACCGAAAACUUAAAUGAUUUUUCAUGCAUCGCACAUAAUUCAUGCCUUUUUUUUCAGAUCCAUGUCUGCAACUGCUUGUUUUAGAUUUUAAACUCUUGAUAGAGCAGAUACAAGCUCUCUUCCACCGACUUUAACAUUAACAAACUAUAAAAUUAACUUCAAAACUAAAGGUAUGCGACAUAAAUGAUGUUUUCCCCCUGACAGUCUUGCACACAAAAAUGAAAAGAAAAGGUUCUGGUGUGCAACAGCCUUAAAAAGAAAGAAAGAAAACUGGUCUUUUAGUUGUUUUUUUUUAAUAAACAUGACGUUCCUCGCUGUAGUUAUAAGCAAUAAAUUAUUCAAUUCAAUUUCUAGAUGAAAAACAAAUGAUUCUGAAAAGAAACUGCAAUUUAUUUGUUUUAAAGUCGAUUUCUUUUGUGGAAGUGUCCCUCUUGUGAUUGUUAUGACUGCAGUAAGGCAUAUGUGAAAGCUACAGUACUUUAAAAGAAGCAGCACAGUACACCAUAUCAGUACAUAGUCAUGUUUUUUUCUAAUUGUUCAACAUAAUUGUUGUGUCUAGCAAAAUAAUCUAUAUGCUGAACUUUUCCUUCACUUAUUUCGUCUCCAACAUGCAUGGUGAAGAUUGGGUAGUGAUUGUUUCUUGCACAAAGAAUAGCCCAUCUCUUCGUUUUUACAGUAAAUGUUUUCCUCUAAUUGAAAUAAGAUACACUUUUGAACCUUUUCGAUUAAAUUAAUGAGUAAAUGUUUAAUUGGUAAACCUUUAAGUGACAGUAAUUAGGUUUUAUGUUCAAUUCUAAAAUCAUGCAAAGUAACAGAUUGAUAUUUCUUUUCAAAAUCCUUUGGGGUCAGUUGCCCACAGGCGCCAGUAUCUAUACAACUUCAAUAUAACAUACUAGGUGUUUCCUGAUUGUUUUCACUUUUGUAAUAGCUUUUUGCUGUGCUUUUCUACAAAGCCAGACAGGUCACCCAAACAGCCGUUUAAAAAAUAAUAAUAAAAAUAACAAAAAACAAAAAGGACAUACUGUAUCUGGACCAAGUCACUGGGGGCAGGAUACAGCCAUGCAAGAGUGGCAACUUCAAGCCGAUUGCAGAGAUAACAUUUUAGCAGCUAAUGGAGGUGGAACUAAAUAAACAGGAAUCUAUUUCCUCUUGCCCUGUUGGAAGAAACUGAAAUAUUUUUUAUAU
ensembl:lncRNA